UGAACGCUAGCGGCAGGCUUAAUACAUGCAAGUCGAACGGGAUUCGGGGUAGCAAUACUUUGAUGAGAGUGGCGCACGGGUGCGUAACGCGUAUGCAACCUACCUUUAACAGGGGAAUAGCCCCGAGAAAUCGGGAUUAAUACUCCGUAACAUUGCGGUGUGGCAUCACACUGCAGUUAAAGAUUUAUCGGUUAAAGAUGGGCAUGCGUGACAUUAGCUAGUUGGUGAGGUAACGGCUCACCAAGGCAACGAUGUCUAGGGGUCCUGAGAGGGUUAUCCCCCACACUGGUACUGAGACACGGACCAGACUCCUACGGGAGGCAGCAGUAAGGAAUAUUGGUCAAUGGGCGCAAGCCUGAACCAGCCAUGCCGCGUGCAGGAAGACGCCCUAUGGGUUGUAAACUGCUUUUGUCAGGGAAUAAACCCCCGCUCGUGAGCGGGGCUGAAGGUACCUGAAGAAUAAGCAUCGGCUAACUCCGUGCCAGCAGCCGCGGUAAUACGGAGGAUGCAAGCGUUAUCCGGAUUCAUUGGGUUUAAAGGGUGCGCAGGCGGAUUGGUAAGUCAGGGGUGAAAUCCCACAGCUCAACUGUGGAACUGCCUUUGAUACUGUCAGUCUAGAGUAUAGUUGAAGUUGGCGGAAUGUGUCAUGUAGCGGUGAAAUGCUUAGAUAUGACACAGAACACCGAUCGCGAAGGCAGCUAGCUAAGCUAUAACUGACGCUCAUGCACGAAAGCGUGGGGAUCAAACAGGGUUAGAUACCCUGGUAGUCCACGCUGUAAACGAUGAUUACUCGAUGUUGGCGAUACACAGUCAGCGUCUGAGCGAAAGCAAUAAGUAAUCCACCUGGGGAGUACGAUCGCAAGUAUGAAACUCAAGGAAUUGACGGGACCCCGCACAAGCGGUGGAUCAUGUUGUUUAAUUCGAUGAUANCCGAAGAANCUUACCAGG
rnacentral:rRNA from 1 species